UACGGGGGGGGCGAACGUUGUUCGGAAUCACUGGGCUUAAAGGGCGCGUAGGCGGGUUCGCAAGUCUGUGGUGAAAGCCCCCGGCUUAACCGGGGAAGGGCCGUGGAUACUGCGAAUCUUGAGGAGGGUAGGGGCAUCUGGAACGGUCGGUGGAGCGGUGAAAUGCGUUGAUAUCGACCGGAACUCCGGUGGCGAAGGCGAGGUGCUGGACCCUUUCUGACGCUGAGGCGCGAAAGCCAGGGGAGCAAACGGG
rnacentral:rRNA from 1 species